GAUGAACGCUGGCAGCGUGCUUAACACAUGCAAGUCGAACGGAAAGGCCCUGCUUUUGUGGGGUGCUCGAGUGGCGAACGGGUGAGUAACAAGUGAGUAACCUGCCCUUGACUUUGGGAUAACUUCAGGAAACUGGGGCUAAUACCGGAUAGGAGCUCCUGCUGCAUGGUGGGGGUUGGAAAGUUUCGGCGGUUGGGGAUGGACUCGCGGCUUAUCAGCUUGUUGGUGGGGUAGUGGCUUACCAAGGCUUUGACGGGUAGCCGGCCUGAGAGGGUGACCGGCCACAUUGGGACUGAGAUACGGCCCAGACUCCUACGGGAGGCAGCAGUGGGGAAUAUUGCACAAUGGGCGGAAGCCUGAUGCAGCAACGCCGCGUGCGGGAUGACGGCCUUCGGGUUGUAAACCGCUUUCGCCUGUGACGAAGCGUGAGUGACGGUAAUGGGUAAAGAAGCACCGGCUAACUACGUG
rnacentral:rRNA from 1 species